GAGCCAGUGGUGUAGUGGUUUGAGCAUUGACUAUGACUCUGGAGAUCAGAGUUCGAGCCCCUGCUUGGCCA